AAGGGUAUAGCUCAGUGAUAGAGAGUGUGUACAAAAUCCUGGGUUCAAUUCCUAGUACCUCUA
rnacentral:tRNA from 1 species